GGCGGCCGGAGCGGCUGCGGCGGCGCAGGCGACGACGGCGGUCGGCGGGGAAAGUUGCCGGAGCACGGUGAAGUCCAGGGGGAGGGUCUGCAGGAGGCGUAGCCCCGGGCCUUCACACAACCCGAGAGGAGAGAGAGAGAGAGAGAAAGAGAGGGAUGGAAGAUGGGUGAUGGCUCGGCGGCGGCCGGGGCUGGUGCAGCAAGGGCAGGGGGAAGGGUGAAGGUGGCUGGGGCGACUAGGGUAGCUGGGGGCUGGCUAGGGUUAGGGUUAGGGGGUCAAAACCCUAGGAACCACUAUAUAAACAAGGUACAACUCGCAAGAAAGCCCCUCAAACAUCAGAAUUUCAAUCCGAGAUCCUCACAGUACGACUAAAACGCAUGAACGCCCCUCCACGUGCGAUCCCUCGCGAAACGAUACAUAAAAUAUCGCGACUUUUGCGAAAAUACCGUUUUGCUAACACCGACCUCUCCUCGAUCAACGCGCGAUCUCCGCAGAUCCGUCCGUCAGAUUUGCGAACGGAUUGCACCAGUGCGAUCAGCACGACGGAGACAACAAAGCUGCGAUUUCGUUUCGUCUUGAUCGACCACGGAUUCACGACAAAAUCCAACCUUCUUCGAAUAGAAGGAAACACACACAUAAAUACAUAUAA
rnacentral:lncRNA from 1 species